CGGAGGAUCCAAGCGUUAUCCGGAUUUAUUGGGUUUAAAGGGUGCGUAGGUGGAAGAAUAAGUCAGAGGUGAAAGCUAGCAGCUUAACUGUUAAAUUGCCUUUGAUACUGUUUUUCUUGAGUCUAGUUGGCGUUGGCGGAAUGUGACAUGUAGCGGUGAAAUGCGUAGAUAUGUCACAGAACACCGAUCGCGAAGGCAGCUAACGAAGCUAGUACUGACACUGAUGCACGAAAGCGUGGGGAGCAAACAGGAUUAGAUACCCUGGUAGUCCACGCCGUAAACGAUGAUAACUCGAACGUUGGCAAUAUACCGUUCAGCGUCCAAGCGAAAGCGUUAAGUUAUCCACCUGGGGAUACGAUCGCAAGGUUGA
rnacentral:rRNA from 1 species